CAACAAGUCACAGGUGUCAACACCUCAGGGAUCUCAUCCAUCUUCCAGAUCUUGACAGGAUGUUUGGAAGGUUAGCAUUGCCAUCUAACAUGAAGCUGCUUCUCCCGAUGAAGCAGAGAUUGAAAUGUCACACCAGCAUGAUCAAUUAGAUGAUGUAGAAGUGAGACAUUUGCUACCUGACCUUAAUCCACAGGGCAAGAAUGGCUGAGUGGAGAAGACUGAAUACAGAGAGACUCAGAGGCAGAGGAAAUCAGCACAGUAUAGUUUACACAGACAAAGCAGCGUAAUUGUUGAUUCAUGACGAAAAGGACGUCCUCGGGUUAAAGACUUCUUAUGGUGUGUACUGGCUCGCCUGCUCGUUCAGUUUGGAGAUCCAUUUGGUUGCUUCUAUUUAUGGAGCUCGAUUGUGAGGUAUCAAUUCAUCAUAGCAGUGGAAAACCAGCAGGAGGUUCAGAGGAAAGCCGUGGAAAAGAUGAGGAUGAGGAAAAUAAAAUGCAA